GUAUAUCUAUUUAUAAUUAUGAAUAGCUAAUUUCAUAAUUCCCAACAAUCAUGAUAUGAUAAAAUAAUUCAUAUUAGUUACUUUAUAGUAGAAUUAUUCGAAGAAUAAUAUGUUAAGAAGUUUAUUAACAAAGAGGAAACGGAGAAAUAUCCCUAAGGACUAUGCCAUCCUAAAGGUGAAACCAUUGAGGCAAGAAGCCGUGGCGGGGAGUAACCAGAGUAGAGGCGCUGUUUAAGGGAAAAAGUAUCCGGAUUACCAUGUUAAUAGUGACGGAAGAACAUAUUAUUUAAGAAUAAUCUAGUAUAUAGUAAGCCAAUAUGACCAUAUUUUGUUGUGUACGUGAUUGAAGGGAAUAUUUUGAAAAAAGCAAAUUUAUGAAAAAUGAAUGAUAAUAUAUCUGAUGUGAUGGUAGAUAAAUUCAAGAUACUUAUUUUGUAUGCACUUAGAAAUAUAAAAGUAGCAGAUAUAAGAAAAAUAAUAUUAGAAAAAGCUUUUGGUAAAUAUUAUACAUCUAGAAUAAGCUAUAUACCACAAAUACCUAACUACUCUUAUAAAUACUUAAGGUGAUAAGUUACAUAAAAAUAAAUACAUGGAAAACAAAGAUAUAAAAUUUCUUAAUAAAAAUAUGCAAAAACUACUAAGACUAAAACAAACAGCUACAAAACAAUUUUAAAAAUAGAUCAUUUAGAUUAUCUUAAAGUUCUAAUACUAUAUAUACUU
rnacentral:lncRNA from 1 species